rnacentral:tRNA from 1 species
GUCCGGCUGGCUCAGUCAGUAGAGCAUGCAACUCUUGAUCUCAGGGUUGUGAGUUCAAACCCCAUGUUGGGCA